rnacentral:siRNA from 1 species
GAAGUUGUUGCGCUACGAAGUAA